CUUGCUUUCUUUGCUGGCGACCGGCGCACGGGUGAGUAACACGUAUCCAACCUGCCCUUUACUCGGGGAUAGCCUUUCGAAAGAAAGGUUAAUACCCGAUAGUAUAAUGAUUCCGCAUGGUUUCAUUAUUAAAGGAUUCCGGUAAAGGAUGGGGAUGCGUUCCAUUAGGUUGUUGGUGAGGUAACGGCUCACCAAGCCUUCGAUGGAUAGGGGUUCUGAGAGGAAGGUCCCCCACAUUGGAACUGAGACACGGUCCAA
rnacentral:rRNA from 1 species